rnacentral:rRNA from 1 species
AACGAACGCUGGCGGCAGGCUUAACACAUGCAAGUCGAACGCCCCGCAAGGGGAGUGGCAGACGGGAGAGUAACGCGUGGGAAUCUACCCAUCUCUGCGGAAUAGCUCUGGGAAGCUGGAAUUAAUACCGCAUACGCCCUACGGGGGAAAGAUUUAUCGGGGAUGGAUGAGCCCGAGUUGGAUUAGAUAGUUGGUGGGGUAAAGGCCUACCAAGGCGACGAUCCAUUGCUGGUCUGAGAGGAUGAUCAGCCACAUUGGGACUGAGACACGGCCCAAACUCCUACGGGAGGCAGCAGUGGGGAAUAUUGGACAAUGGGCGAAAGCCUGAUCCAGCCAUGCCGCGUGAGUGAUGAAGGCCUUAGGGUUGUAAACCUCUUUAACCGAUGAAGAUAAUGACGGUAGUCGGAGAAGAAGCCCCGGCUAACUUCGUGCCAGCCGCCGCCGUAA